AUUGAACGCUGGCGGCAGGCUUAACACAUGCAAGUCGAGCGGAGAUCAGGUGCUUGCACCUGAUUUUAGCGGCGGACGGGUGAGUAAUGCUUAGGAAUCUGCCUUUUAGUGGGGGACAGCAUUCCGAAAGGAAUGCUAAUACCGCAUACGUCCUACGGGAGAAAGCAGGGGACCUUCGGACCUUGCGCUAAAUGAUGAGCCUAAGUCGGGUUAGCUAGUUGGUGGGGUUAAGGCCUACCAAGGCGACGAUCCGUUGCGGGUCUGAGAGGAAGAACCGCCACACUGGGAAUGAGAAACGGCCCAAACUCCUACGGGAGGCAGCAGUGGGGAAUAUUGGACAAUGGGCGGAAGCCUGAUCCAGGCAUGCCGCAGGUGUUAAGAAGGCCUUUUGGUUGGAAAGCACUUUAAGCGAGGGGGAGGCUACUAGUACUAAUACUACUGGAUAGUGGACGUUACUCGCAGAAUAAGCACCGGCUAACUCUGUGCCAGCCGCCGCCGUAAGAC
rnacentral:rRNA from 1 species